rnacentral:rRNA from 1 species
AUUGAACGCUGGCGGCAUGCCUUACACAUGCAAGUCGAACGGUAACAGGUCUUCGGAUGCUGACGAGUAGCGAACGGGUGAGUAAUACAUCGGAACGUGCCUAGUAGUGGGGGAUAACUACUCGAAAGAGUGGCUAAUACCGCAUGAGAUCUACGGAUGAAAGCAGGGGAUCGCAAGACCUUGUGCUACUAGAGCGGCCGAUGGCAGAUUAGGUAGUUGGUGGGAUAAAAGCUUACCAAGCCGACGAUCUGUAGCUGGUCUGAGAGGACGAUCAGCCACACUGGGACGGAGACACGGCCCAGACUCCUACGGGAGGCAGCAGUGGGGAAUUUUGGACAAUGGGCGCAAGCCUGAUCCAGCAAUGCCGCGUGCAGGAUGAAGGCCUUCGGGUUGUAAACUGCUUUUGUACGGAACGAAAAGCCCUGGGUUAACACCCUGGGGUCAUGACGGUACCGUAAGAAUAAGCACCGGCUAACUACGUGCCAGCAGCCGCCGUAAGAC